GGCAAAUAGGGCUGGGGGCGGCUGCUCAGCCCCCCCCGGCGAUGUUUGCACAGGGCUCGGGGCCGGCUCCAGCCCUUCCCAUGCCGGCCAGAUCGGCCCCACGCGCUUUCCGGGGGCCCCCGGAGCUCGGCUGAGGCCGCCCCAACUCGUUCCAUGCACCGCGGCGGUGGGCUGAGCCAGGGGGCCCGGCGGGAGCCUCCGUCCCCGCUGCCUGGCGGGUCCCGCGCCGCCUGUCCCCGACGCCUCCACCCUUCCCUCCCGCAGCGUCCGGCUCCGAGAGCGGCAUGAACGGCGCCGGCGUCUUCCUGGGCCCCUGCGAAGGUGCCCUCUGCGGCGUCCCCGGCCAGAAACGCCGCCGCGUGUCGGCCGCGGAGCCCGUCCGCACUCCCAGCCCYGGCGCCCAGGCCCCCUGGGAGGAGGAGGAGGAGGAGGAAGAUGAGGACGAAGAUCGCUUCCGAGGGGUGCCGCUCCGGCGGACCUGCGUGCUCCGGACCUCCAUGCGCUCCCGGGAUGCUUUCCGCCGGCACAGCUGGGAGCCGGGCAAGGAGCUGCGCGGGGAACCCGGCUACGAGCAGCUCAGCGCCUGCCUCAAAGGGCUGAGUCCCGACAACUUCGACGCCGGCGCGGAGGGGCUGGCGCGGCCCCGGCGGGACCCCCGGCGCCUGCCCCUGCUCCACAGCCACGACGACCUGGAGUCGCUGCUCUCGCAGGACGAGGACGAGGACGACGGGAAGCCGGAGCAGGAGGGUGCGAAGCGGCUGCAGGCGUUUCGGGCCGGGCAGAGCCCCGGUGGCUGUGGCCUCUCCAAAUCCAUGUCGCUGAGCGGCAUCGACAGCUUCCCAGAUGCGGACGAAAUUUCCCUCUUCGCCUCCCAGCUGAGCCUGGCCAACGGCUUCAGCGCCGGGAGCUGCGGGCAGCUGGCGGCCACGGGCGAGCCGGGGAGCCUGCGCCGGGACGAGACCCGCCUGGGCCGGACCCUCAGCUUCAUCAGGAGGAUGACGGGGAAGUCCAAGGUAGGAGGAGGGCGGAUUCGGGGCGGGAUGCGUCCGCGGUCCUCGCGCGGGGUGGGGGGGGUGUUGG
rnacentral:lncRNA from 1 species